UACAGAGGUCUCAAGCGUUGUUCGGAUUCAUUGGGCGUAAAGGGUGCGUAGGCGGCGCGGUAAGUCGGGUGUGAAAUCUCGGAGCUUAACUCCGAAACUGCAUUCGAUACUGCCGUGCUUGAGGACUGGAGAGGAGACUGGAAUUUACGGUGUAGCGGUGAAAUGCGUAGAUAUCGUAAGGAAGACCAGUGGCGAAGGCGGGUCUCUGGACAGUUCCUGACGUGAGGCACGAAGGCCAGGGGAGCAAAACGGG
rnacentral:rRNA from 1 species